rnacentral:tRNA from 1 species
ACAUAUAUAGCCCAGUGGGUAGAGCACCUGACAAGAGAUUCAGGGUUCAAAUCCUUUGGAUGUA